UUCUACUUCUCCACACUCAUCUCCUCCAAAUGCUCCGUCAGCGGCGCCUCUCAGCCUUGCACCGCCGUCGCACCGAAGCUCCGUCACACUCCUUCCCGGAUCUUCUCCCUGUGUUGCUCGCGUCUCUCCUUUCAAACCCUAACCUGAAAUCUGCUAAUUUAGCCAAAGUUUGGAGGUUAGAUUUUCAAUUUCAUGCAAUUAUUUCCUCUUAUUCCAAUAGAUCUUCUCCGUCACACUCUCUUCGUUCCUUCUCCUCUUCCGCCGCCGCCUCUGCUGCCAUUGUUCGGUUGUUCGCCACUACCUCACACCACAACAACCACCGCUAGAACCACAAGUUUCUAGAUUCCAAUACCUUCUUUGGAAGCUGGCAGCCUCCGUAGGACCCGAAGGAGGCUGAGGCGAAGCUGGCGAUGCUCCGAAGGGGCUACGCGAAGCAGGUGAAGGAGGUUCGCAAUCUGUACAUCCACGAAAUGGAGCUGCUUCAGAUCGAGAAGGAGCUCAAGGAAAAAGCUUGCAGAGAAUCCCUUAGAGUUGCCAAUGAGGAGCACAAGAAUCUCAAGGCCGAAGCUGCGCAGAUUAGGGCUCUGGAGCGAAAGAUCGCACACUAUUUGAUGGUCACAAUGGAACUGCUGCUGCUAUUUAUGCCAAGGAGAAUCUUCUAAACAACAUUUUAAGUGCAAUUCCUUCAAAUCUUAACAGAGAUGAGUGGAUAGCAGCAUUGCCCAGGGCUUUGGUUGCAGGAUUUGUGAAAACUGACAAAGAUUUUCAACAGAAAGUACUUCUGGAAUAUUCUGAGUAUUGCCAAAUGAGCUUGCACAUGCCCAAUUCCAGAAGUUAGCAAAUUAAAGAAUAAAAUGGUAUAUUGACUAUCUGUUUUUGGGAGAUUAUGUUGAUAGAGGACAGCACAGCUUGGAAACCAUUACCUUGCUGCUUGCACUUAAGAUUGAGUAUCCUGAGAAUGUUCACCUGAUACGUGGUAACCAUGAAGCUGCUGACAUAAAUGCACUAUUUGGUUUUCGUAUUGACUGCAUUGAAAGGAUGAACAAAAGCAUUGCUGAGUGUGGUUCUUUAGUUGUAAGCACUCCAAAUCAUUGAAAAAGGCAAUUCAUGGAUUGCAUAUUUUUUUCAUUUGAAAAUCAUACUAGAACAAUAUAAUCUGAUAUGAGAAGCUGUUAAUGCUAUAGCUUGAUUUAUAUUUAUAAGAAAUUAUGAACUGAUUGAUUGAAUACCUUAUCUGCUUUUGCUUUGCUGCUGCUACCUGACUCUGUGUUCCAAUCUUAGCCUCAGGUGCCUUCUUCCUGUAUUUGUAGAACUUCUCUCAAGAGCUUCAAAAGCUUGAGGAGUAUCGCAUGAACUAGAAAUCCAUUGAUUCAAUGUUGAAUGGAACUUAUAGGGUGAUUACAUCAAAGACCAAGUAAUAGGGUAUCUGGAUCAGUUUGGCACUUCACUUCCUGUUAAGGUGAUCAGAAAUUGCAACAGAGAUUACAACAAGUGUAGCAAGUAGCAAAACCUUUUACACUGAUUCCAAUGGACGCGAUUUCAUCGAAAGGAUCAACCUUGGAAUUUACCUGAAAGAUAAAAGUAAAGAGCUCUCUAUAUUGGUAGAUAGGUCUGUGGGGGGAUCCAGCAUCAAAGAUGGGCAAUUAGAACUAAUUGUUAAAUUCCUCUGAAUUCAUUCAUAUGAUCCCUUUAAGCUGCUGGAAGCACCCCACAACUGGUGGCAAGAAGCAUGAGCACCUGAAAUUGCUUCUGUGCAGAUUGAAUGGAGCGUCAGGGUGGCUCAUUAAGGAAUGUUGAUUCUGCUCGUGUUUCAAAUCCCCAGCACCUUUUACUGCUGAUAUCAGGCAAGAAGUGUAGCCCUUUUCCAAUUGCAUUAAGAGAUAUAAAGCAACACGACAUUACUCAAAGCAUGCGCGGGAUACUAGUUGAUUGGCUUGUAGAGAUUUGCAUAAUGUAAUUUUUCUCAAAUAAUACAAUGUUAUGAAUUAUAGCUGAUAAAUUUAGUACGGUUGAACAAUACACUGAGGAUUAUAGUUGAUGUAUUAAUACACUUCGUUUAUGUUUUGAUAAU